GUCGGAAUUCACUAUGGGGACCUUGACGGGUCCUGGCGCCGGCGGUAGACAAACGGAGAGCCAGGGCUUGACGCCGGAGGAGAUGAUUCGGCUUCCAACUGGUCCGAAAGACCGCUCUGGUGAGGAAGUACGUCCUGGCCGCCUUGGUGGGGGAUUUCCCACUUAUGAUCGGCACAGUAUGUCUGCUGGUCGAUAUCGAGACCGUGAUGAAGGCGAUGGGUCCUGGGGUAGUGGUCGACGAUCGUAUGGUGGGUUCGAUGAGGAACGCAGGGGUCCAUCUCCUA
rnacentral:misc_RNA from 1 species